UACGUAGGGGGCGAGCGUUAUCCGGAUUCACUGGGUGUAAAGGGAGCGUAGACGGCCAAGCAAGCCAGGGGUGAAAGCCCGGGGCCCAACCCCGGGACUGCCCUUGGAACUGCAUGGCUGGAGUGCGGGAGGGGCAGGCGGAAUGUAUGGUGUAGCGGUGAAAUGCUUAGAGAUCAUACAGAACACCGAUUGCGAAGGCAGCUUACCAAGCUACUUCUGACGUUGAGGCACGAAAGCGUGGGGAGCAAACAGG
rnacentral:rRNA from 1 species